rnacentral:tRNA from 1 species
GCGCCCGUAGCUCAGUCGGAUAGAGCACCGGAUUUCUAAUCCGUAGGUCGUGGGUUCGAGUCCCGCCGGGCGCACCA